rnacentral:rRNA from 1 species
GUAGGGGGCGAGCGUUAUCCGGAGUUACUGGGCGUAAAGCGCCCGCAGGCGGUGAGGUACGUUUUGCGUGACAGCUGCUGGCUUAACGAGCAGAGGAUGCGAAAGACGGCCUGACUUGAGGGCCAGAGAGGGACCUGGAAUUCCGGGUGGAGCGGUGAAAUGCGUAGAGAUCCGGAGGAACACCAAAGGCGCAGGCAGGGUCCUGGCUGGUCACUGACGCUGAGGGGCGAAAGCUAGGGGAGCGAACGGGAUUAGAUACCCCGGUAGUCCUAGCCGUAAACGAUGACCACUAGGUGUGGGAGGUAUCGACCCCUUCCGUGCCGGAGCCAACGCACUAAGUGGUCCGCCUGGGGAGUACGGUCGCAAGAUUA